rnacentral:lncRNA from 1 species
UUCAGUGUGUCUCACAACUGGGAUUUAACAGAAGCAGCUCAGCCCCUCGGGCUAUCACCAAACAUAUCACACCCCAAGACAGUCUCACAGCACCAGGAUUACACGAUGGAGAAUCUCAUCAGGAUGGGGGUGUCAGUCUUCAUUCUUGUGAUUCUUGGCAUUCUGCUGUUUGAAGCUCAGCAUAGCCAAAGACGGACACAACAUGCAGCAGGAAGAGAAAGCAGUACAUUUUUCAUGGUGGCAGAGACCUGGGGAUAAGUCCAAGGAUCUCAGGUGGUUCUGUAAGAAAAAUCUGGGACUAUAGUAGGGAACCAUUUUCAGAGAACAUACAAGGGAGGAAAAGUGGUUUGAGUGUAGGGAAGCACCUGGGUAGUCUGGUGGAAAGGUCUUCUAUAGCCAAUCAUUUGGCUAUCUCUUCACCUUGAUGUGUAUGUUAGCUGACAGUCUUCUCUCUCUUUCCACCUCCAAUAAAGAAGAAGGAACAGUCUUGUUUCAUCAGUC